ACAUACACCGCCCCCUCCUCCCCCCCACACAAGCACACACAUACAUAUCCUCCCGCUUGCACGCACUGCAUCGCACAAAAACUGCGCGUACAGUCAUAUCUUUCUUCACCAAACUCCGCCCGAAUGAAUCAUAUUAAUCAAUCAAGUUUCGAAGAUAAUCCAGAAAACGUAGACAGCAUCGUAAAAACGAUGUCAGUUAUAUUAAGAGACCAGAAAUGCAACAAGAAAAUAGCAAAGAUAACAGAACAAAAGCACAAAUAUAACACAAAAGAUGAAAAUGAAGAUAAAGACGAUCAAAUGAUUAAUUGUUUAAUGCGACAGUUGACGUCUAAAAAAUUAUUAAAAGAUGAAUGGGAAAACGAAGAUGAUGUCAUGAAUAAUUUUUAUUUGGUAAAUAAAGGAUCUAAGAAAAUAAAAAAAUUAAAAGAACAUGGUCAUUCAGCUUCAUUAAAUGAUGAUUUAAGUCCAUUACAGUAUGAAAGAACUAAAUUUGUUCCUACAUUACCUAAAGUGUUAGCAUGUGAAUAUAAAGAAUUGAUAGAAAAUUAUGGAGAUGAUUAUAUAAAUCGAACAGAUUAUGAUGAAGUCAAAACUUUUUUUAAAAAUCUGACUGAUUUACCAAUGAUAAGCUUAAAAGAAACUACAAGUAGUGAAUCAUUUAAAGGUGGUAAUAUAUUAAAAAUAGGUAUUAUACUAUCUGGUGGUCCAGCCCCAGGUGGUCAUAAUGUUAUAGCUGGUAUAUAUGAUUAUGCUAAAAGAUAUAAUGAACAAUCAACUGUUAUUGGUUUUUUAGGUGGAAUAGAUGGUUUGUAUAGUAAGAAUUUUGUUACUAUUACAGACACAAUGAUGAAUCGUUUUCGUAAUUUAGGUGGUUUUAAUAUGUUAUGGUCUGGUCGUGGUAAAGUAAAAAAUCAAGAUGAUUUAGUUAAAAUAGAACAUGUUGUUACAAAAUUAAAAUUGAAUGGAUUAGUUAUAAUAGGAGGUGACGGUUCUAAUAGCAACGCAGCUAUUAUUGCUGAAUAUAUGAGUGAACGUAAAUUAGGAACUUGUGUGAUAGGUAUACCUAAAACGAUUGAUGGAGAUUUAAAGAGUGAAUCCAUAGAAAUUAGUUUCGGUUUUGAUACUGCUACAAAGACAUAUUCCGAAAUAAUAGGAAAUUUAUGUACAGAUGUGAAGACAGGACAUAAUGUUUAUCAUGUUGUUCGAGUGAUGGGUAGAUCUGCAUCUCAUGUUGUACUAGAAUGUGCAUUACAAACAAGACCAAAUAUUGUAUUACUAGGGGAAGAAGUAGAAAGAGAUAAACUUUCUCUAAAAGAUAUAAUAAAAAAUAGUGUAGAUAUUAUAAUAAAAAGAAGAAAAUUGAACAAAAAUUAUGGUGUUAUUUUAAUACCAGAAGGGUUAAUUGAAUUUAUUCCUGAAAUAAAAGUUUUAAUUGGUGAAUUAAAUGUAAUAUUAAAAGAAAAUGAAAUAUUUGAUGAAUCGAAAUUAAUAAUGUCUAAAGACAUUUGGGAUUUUUUACCAAAAAUUAUUAAAGAUCAGUUACUUAUAGAUAGAGAUGCAACUGGAUAUAUACAAGUUGGAAAAAUAGCUACAGAACGUUUAAUAAUAACAUUACUAGAAUCGGAAUUAUCCAAAAUGGAUGAUACAAAAAAUAGUACUAUUCAAUUUAUGGCACAUUAUUUAGGUUAUGAAGGAAGAUGUACAUUACCUUCAAAUUUUGAUUGUACCUAUUGUUAUGCUUUAGGUUAUAAUGCAGCAUUAUUAAUAGACCAUGAAAGAACAGGUUAUAUGUCUAUUAUUCAAAAUUUACAUGAUAUUUAUGAAAAUUGGAUACCUGGAGGAAUACCAUUUUUAAGAAUUAUGCAUGUAAAUAAAGACAAUGCAGGUAAUAAAUUCCCAGCAGUUAAACGUUAUUUGGUAGAUUUAGAUAGUCCUUUAGUUAAUGUAUUAAAUGAAGUUCGUUCUAUUUGGUCUUUAUAUGAUUUAUAUAGAUCUCCAGGUCCGAUUCAAUUUAAUGGCUAUUUGAGUAAUUCCCGAUGUUAUACUGUAAAAAUACCUACAAAAGAUAUAUUGUUGUGUCGAAAUAAUGAUGACUUACAAUUAAUUAUUAAUUCUACUAAUCAAGAUUUGGAAAAUCUUAAACGAGCUUCAUCUACUGAAGAAUGUGAUGGAGAAUAUAAUAUCAAUAAUGGUGCUUGUGAUAGUUCCGGAUUAAGUGAUAUUUGCUAUGGUUUAAAUUCAUCAAAUGAAACCAUAUUAAAUUUUAAUUUAAAUGUAACAAGUGAUAAAAAAGAUAUAUAUGAAAAAAAUAGUACAUGUUAUAAGUCGUUAGGUUGUAUGUCUGAGCUUCAAACAGCAAGAUUAUAUAGUCGAAUUGAAUUACCAGAAUUAUGUACAGAUUUAAAUGCAAAAGUAAGAGCAGGUAAGCAAUAUAUAUCAAGUGACCCAUAUACACAAAAACAGAUUUUAUCAAAUUAUCCCCAUCUUGCUUAUCAAAAUAAAUUUCAAAUUCAAGAAGUUUUUCAUGAUAAGAAUGCAAUUCCUAUUACUUUUGAAAUAAAAAUUGGUAUCGUUUUUUUAUCUAGACAAGCUCCUGGUGCAAUGAAUGUGUUAUGUGGUUUGUAUAAUCGAUUAAAGUUGUUAAAUGGAGUUUGUAUUGCAUUUUAUGGAUUAUAUGGAUUAUUAAAUAAUAAAUAUGUGAUUAUAAAUGAUGAAAAUAUAGCAAAGCAUAUUAAUCAGGGUGGUUUGGAAUUAACUGGUAAUUCACCGGAACAUUCACUUUUUGAUAAAGAAAAUAGAAACAAGGUUUGUGAAACAGUAACAAACUUACAAUUAAAUGGUUUAGUUAUGCCAGGUUCUAAUAUAACAAUAACAGAAGCUUCUUUAUUAGCAGAAUACUUUUUAGAAAAAAGAAUACCAACUUGUGUAGUUGGUAUUCCUUUAACAGGUUCAAACAAUUUAAUACAUGAAUUGAUUGAAACAUGUGUUGGUUUUGAUAGUAGUACAAAAGUAUAUGCUUCACUUAUAGGUAAUGUAUUAACAGAUGCAGUGAGUAUGCCUAAGUAUUGGCAUUUUAUACGUUUAAUGGGUAGAAGUCCAUCACAUGAAGUAUUGGAAUGUGCAUUACAAACUCAUCCAAAUGUAGUUAUUAUUGCUGAAGAAUAUGGAGCAGCAGAUAAAACAUUAUGGAGGGUAGUACAAGAUAUAGCAGAUGUAGUUUGUGCUAGAGCUGAAUUAGGGAAAAAUUAUGGUACUAUUUUAAUACCUGAUGCAUUAUUUAUGCAUUUACCACAUAUGAAAAUAUUAUUGACUGAAAUAAGUGACAUACUAAAUGAAGCAGCAGAAAAAGGUGAAUUAGAAGAUGCACAAAGUGAAUUAGUAAAUUUGUCUAUAGAUGACAAAAAAAAAACAUUGCUUGGUGAGUUAAAUAGUAGUACUACUCCGACUACGACUACGACUACAACUACGACUCCGACUACUACUCCGACUACUACUACUACUACUACUACUACUAAUGCAAAGUCAUCAUCACAAUGGAUAUCCAAAUUAACACCAUGGAGUUCAGCUUUAUUAAAAACGUUUCCAGAAUUUAUAAUAAAAGAAUUAUUACAAGUAGAUUUAAGAUCUAUGCGUUUUGAAAAACUAGAAACAGAACAAUUGUUAUUACAAAUGGUUAAGGAAGAAUUACAUCAUAGAAAGCAAAAAGGAAAAUACGUGGGUAGUUUUAUGGGUUUAACACAUUUUUUUGGAUAUCAAGGCCGUUCUUCUUUACCAUCUGAAUUUGAUUGUAAGUUAGCAUAUGCAUAUGGACAUGCAGCAUCUAUUGUUAUAGAAUGUAAUUUAACAGGUUAUAUAGUUUCAAUUAGAGGUUUAUGUGGUGCUGUAAAUGAUUGGAAAUUAUUCGCUAUACCUUUAAUAUCUUUGAUGAAAAUAUUACCAAGAGGUCAAGGAAGUAAACAUUUGAAAGGCGCAUCUAAAGGCGAUUUACCAAUUAUUCCAAGUGCACCUGUAGAUUUAAAUGGUAAAGCAUAUCGUAGUUUAAAACUAGCCUUACAAAAAUGGCAAAUAGAAGAUCGUUUUUGUAACCCUGGUCCUAUACAAUUUGAAGGUAAAGCUGCAAACUAUUAUAAUAGGAUAUUAUUUGAGGAACAAUCUGAAUACUUUGAAAUGUUAAGAUAUGUUGAAUGUUAUGCUAAUAUCUUAAAAGAUACAUGUCGUUUUGGUGUUUCUGCUGAUUAUCUCAAAACAGUGUUUGUCCACUUGAGUGGAAUGUUAGUUUUAGCGUAUAAGCCUAACGACUUGUUGUCGAGUAUGCCUUACUUGGGGAGUAUAGAGGAUUAUUAUGAUUGGGAAAACCAGAGUAAGCGGUUGUAAACACACAUUGGGGGGAUAGUACAUGACCAUGUGGGGUGUUACUUCAUUGUGUUUUGAAAAACAUGGACUGGUCUGGGCUGGGAUAAAUUAGGCUGGAUUGGAAUAAGUUGGGCAUGCGUGCGUGCGUGCGUGCGUGUGUGUGUGUUCGUAUAAUUAAAUAAGAACUUUUUUUUUUUUCUUUUUUUUUUUUUUCUUUUUUUUUUUUUUUUCUUUUUUUUAACUAUGGUUCACGAUCUGGGAAGCUUUAUAUAUCAGUGCGACGUAUCAGUAGUGGUAAUAUUAGUGGUGAUUGUAUAAUAACAAUUUUCACAGAGUGAGUUCAUAUUAUUAAAAAAAAGAAAGAAUAAUUUCGUUUUGUUCCAUUUUAUGGUAUAUGGCCGUAUUUUCUUAUAUAUAUAUAUAUAUAUAUACCUUUAUAUGGAUUUUAUUCUUCCUUAUUUUAUCUUUUUAAAAAAUUAAAAAUUUAUUUUCUUGUUUAUAUAUAGUGCCUGUAUAAUUGUUGUGUAUUUAUUUAUGUAUUAGUGUUUUUUUUUUUUUUUUUUUUUUUUUUUUUUUUUUUUUUUUUUUUUUUUCCAUAGAGUAAUCAUCUGAAUGUGAUUUUAAUAUGAAUACAUAUAUUCAGUUUACAUAUUCAAUGGCUCGCUUAUUUUAUCUUCUAUUUAUUCAUGUAAUCAUGUAUACACAUUUAAAUGUCCUAAUUUUUAACAUCACGCGUUUAUUCAAAAAAAAAAAAAGCAUUUUUUAAAUUAAAAAAAAUAAAAUAAAAUAAAAUAAAAUAAUAAUUAGCUAU
ensembl:lncRNA